ACUGACGUGCAAAUCGUUCGUCGAACUUGACUGAACUUAAGCAUAUCAGUAAGCGGAGGAAAAGAAAAUAACAAUGAUUACCUUAGUAGCGGCGAGUGAAUAGGUAAAAGCCCAAGAUGUUAAUCUGCUAUAAUGUAGUAGAAUUGUAAUCUAUGGAGUAGCUCGGAAGGUUGAGACUCGUCAUAAGUUCCUUGGAAUAGGACGCCAGAGAAGGUGAAAGCCCUGUCUUCGGACGAGUCGAGGCGAUACGAGAUAUUUCUAAGAGUCGGGUAGUUUGGGAAUGCUGCCCUAAUCGGGAGGUAAACUUCUCCUAAGGCUAAAUAUUUAUUGGAGACCGAUAGCAUACAAGUACUGCGAAGGAAAGAUGAAAAGAACUUUGAAAAGAGGGUUAAAAGACUUGAAAUCGUUGAAAAGGAAGCGAUAGAAGAGAAAUGAUUCCCUGCGAAGAUGUAAAUUGAGCUAAGUUACGCGGUGUAAGAUAUCUAACAGAGUCUUUGCCGUAGAACGAAAAUCAAGAGACUGUUCGCAGGUGAAACGCAAGAUGAGGUGGUGUUGCGAGAAUAAGGUGAGUAGUGUAUUCUACUGCCAAAAGUCGCAAUGCUGCCUGAGGGAUCAGAUGAUGAUCUUGCGAAAAUGGCUUUUAUCGACCCGUCUUGUAACACGGACCAAGGAGUCUACCUAUUAUGCGAGUGUUAAGGUGGAGAAACCUAAACGCGUACCGAAAGGGAUGUAAGAUGUGAGGCGCAAGCUGCAACAUCAACCAAUCUUGAUUCUUUGAUGAAGGACUUGAGUAAGAGCAUAAUCGGUAGGACCCGAAAGAUGGUGAACUACGGUUGAAUAGGGUGAAGCCAGGGGAAACUCUGGUGGAGGCUCGAAGCGGUACUGACGUGCAAAUCGUUCGUCAAAUUUGACUGUAGGGGCGAAAGACUAAUCGAACCAUCUAGUAGCUGGUUCCCUCUGAAGUUUCUCUCAGGAUAGCUAGAGCAAUCAUGCAGUUUUGCUAGGUAAAGCUAAUGAUUAGAGGUUACGGGGGUCCAGUGCCCUCGGCCUAUUCUCAAACUUUAAAUUGGUAAGAACCGGAGGUUUUCUUCAUUGAACCGAGGGGAAGAAUGCAUGCUCUAAGUGGGCCAUUUUUGGUAAGCAGAACUGGCGAUGAGGGAUGAACCUAACGUCGAGCUAAGGUGCCCAAAUUCACGCUCAUCAGACACCAUAAAAGGUGUUGGUUAGUAUAAACAGCCGGACUGUGGCCAUGGAAGUCGGCACCAGCUAAGGAGUGUGUAACAACUCACCAGCCGAAUUAACCAGCCCUGAAAAUUGAUGGCGCUAAGCGUGAUACCGAUACUCGACCAACAGGGCAAAUAGAAGCCUUGUUGAGUAAGAGGGCGUGAACAUUGUGUAGAAGGCUUGGACGUGAGUCUGGCUGGAACAAUGUUUAGUGCAGAUCUUGGUGGUAGUAGCAAAUAUUCAAAUGAGAACUUUGAAGACUGAAGUGGAGAAAGGUUCCAUGUGAACAGCAGUUGGACAUGGGUUAGUCGAUCCUAAGAGAUAGGUUAACUCCGUUUUAAAGUUGCGCCAUUUUCGGCGCCGCCUAUCAAAAGGGAAUCGGGUUAAUAUUCCCGAACCGGAAUGCGGAUAGUACCUCUCGCAAGAGGGGCGUUAUGCGGCAACGCAACCAAGCUCGGAGACGCUGGCUGAGGCCCUGGGAAGAGUUGUCUUUUCUUUUUAACCAUUCACGGCCCUGAAAUCAGAUUGCCUGGAGAUAGGGCUUACGGGUGGGUAAAGCAGGGCACUUUCUGCCCUGUCCGGUGCGCUUCAGACGGCCCGUGAAAAUCCGAGGGAGUGGAUGAUUCUCGCGUCCGGUCGUACUCAUAACCGCAGCAGGUCUCCUAGGUGAAAAGCCUCUAGUUGAUAGAACAAUGUAGGUAAGGGAAGUCGGCAAAAUAGAUCCGUAACUUCGGGAAAAGGAUUGGCUCUGAGGGUUGGGCCUAGGGGUCUUUUCGGAGAGCUUGUGGCGGCCUACGUCGGUCUGUGUUUGGAUCCUUCGGGAACUAGAUGCGGGCUGGCGGUCGGGCUGCUCUUGCUGUGCUGGAGAGAAAGGGUAGUUGGCUUGCUGGCUGCCUGUUUCCCUAGUGCGUUGAACAACCAACUCAGAACUGGAGCGGACGACGGUGGAGCGGCUCGGCAUCGUCUGCGCGCGUGUGCGGGGGGCACGGCGGGUGCGCGUGUCAGAUCUGGGCCGCCAUCGAACGACCAACCAGAAACUGGGCACGAUCCAGGGGAAUCCGACUGUCUAAUUAAAACAAAGCAUUGCGAUGGCCGCAAGUCGGUGCUGACGCAAGGUGAUUUCUGCCCCAGGCUCUGAAUCAAAGUGAAGAAAAAUUCAACGAAGCGCGGGUGAACGGCGGGAGUAACUAUGACUCCUCUUAAGGUAGCCCAAAUGCCUCGUCAUCAAAUUAGUGCCGCGCACGAAUGGAUUAGCCAAAUGCCUCGUCCUCUAAUUAGUGACGCGCAAGAAUGGAUUAACGAGAUUCCCAUUGUCCCUAUGUACUAUCUAGCGAACCCACUGCGAGCCUCGCAGUGGGUUCGCUAGAUAGUAGAUAGGGACAGUGGGAACGGGUCUCGUUUUGCCAGCGGGGAAAGAAGCCCCGUUGAGCUUUUCACUCUAGUUCGCAUUGUGGAGUGACAUGAGAGGUGUAGCAUAAGUGGGGGAUGUGGCCUUCGGGCUCAGCGGACGAUGAAAUACCACUCCUUUCAUGGUCGCUUCACUUACUCGGUGAAGCGGAGAGGGAGGUCGCCCGGGUGGGGGCUUUAACGGUCUCCGUCCGCGGCGUCUCGCUUGAAUUCUUGUGUUGAAGUGCGAGCCGUCCCGGCAGGGGUUGGCAGGCGAGGCGAGGUUGUCGCGGCUUUUCGCCCGUCUCGUGCAGGCGGGAGGUCGUGGUCGGCCGAGCUUUCUUAGUCUGCUUUCCAUCUCCGGGAAUUAUUCGGUGGUGCGAUCCGGGCUGAGGACAUUGCCGGAUGGGGAGUUUGUGUGGGGCGGACAUCUGUCAAACGAUAGCGCAGGUGUCCUAAGGCUGGCUCAGGGAGGACAGAAACCUCCCGUAGAGCAAAAGGGGAUCUGCCGUCUUGAUCCCGAUUUUCAGUACGAAUACGGACCGCGAAAGCGCGGCCUAUCGAUCCUUUUGGCCAUUCUGAGUUUGAAUAGAGGUGUCAGAAAAGUUACCACAGGGAUAACUGGCUUGUGGCAGCCAAGCGUCCAUAGCGACGUUGCUUUUUGAUUCUUCGAUGUCGGCUCUUCCUAUCAUUGCGAAGUAGAACUCGCCAAUUGUUGGAUUGUUCACCCACUAAUAGGGAACGUGAGCUGGGUUUA
rnacentral:rRNA from 1 species